rnacentral:rRNA from 1 species
UACGUAGAGCGCAAGCGUUGUCCGGAAUUAUUGGGCGUAAAGAGCUCGUAGGCGGUCUGUCGCGUCCGUUGUGAAAACUCGAGGCUCAACCUCGGGCUUGCAGUGGAUACGGGCAGACUAGAGUGCGGUAGGGGAGACUGGAAUUCCUGGUGUAGCGGUGGAAUGCGCAGAUAUCAGGAGGAACACCGAUGGCGAAGGCAGGUCUCUGGGCCGCAACUGACGCUGAGGAGCGAAAGCAUGGGGAGCGAACAGG